CCCGCGCUGCCCGCGCUCCGCUGUCUCGCGCUCCUGGUCGCUCCGGCUCCUCCCGGCAGCCCGGAGCCGCGGCCACGCGAGGUUGUAAAAAUCCAUGUGGGACCGCGCCGGGGCGAGCAUCGCUAAGAUCUCUGAGUGGAGCCAUUUCCCGGCACAAGCUAUACAGAAUGUGGUGAGAAUUCUGGCCCGUGGAGGAAUUGGUUUAAACUCUAAGGUUGCCUAGCAUCUCUUCUCUUGAAUAGCACCACAUCACAGAAGAAAAAUGUAUGGAAGUGCAAGAACCAUCACUAAUCUGGAAGGUAGCCCUUCCAGAUCACCUCGUUUGCCAAGGUCUCCUCGGUUGGGCCACCGAAGAACAAGCAGCGGGGGAGGCGGAGGGACAGGCAAGACUCUGUCUAUGGAGAAUAUCCAGUCCCUUAAUGCAGCCUAUGCCACAUCUGGACCCAUGUACUUGAGUGACCAUGAAGGGGUGGCGUCCACAACUUACCCAAAGGGUACGAUGACUCUGGGCAGGGCCACGAAUCGAGCUGUGUACGGAGGCCGGGUCACAGCCAUGGGGAGUAGUCCCAAUAUUGCGUCCGCUGGACUUUCCCAUACGGACGUUCUUUCCUAUACGGAUCAACACGGGGGGCUGAGCGGCUCAUCCCAUCACCACCACCACCAGGUGCCCUCCAUGUUGAGGCAGGUAAGAGACAGCACCAUGUUGGAUCUUCAAGCCCAGCUCAAAGAGCUGCAGAGAGAGAAUGACCUCCUCCGGAAGGAGCUUGACAUUAAGGACAGCAAACUGGGAUCGUCCAUGAACAGCAUCAAGACUUUCUGGAGUCCCGAGCUCAAGAAGGAGAGAGUGCUGAGGAAAGAGGAGGCAGCUCGGAUGUCUGUCCUCAAGGAGCAGAUGAGGGUUUCUCACGAAGAAAACCAGUUAUUGGAUGCCAGAAGAACCAAGCAUCUGCAGUUGACCAUCCAGGCCCUUCAGGAUGAGCUGCGGACCCAGAGAGACCUCAACCACCUCCUGCAGCAAGAGAGCGGCAACCGAGGGGCGGAGCACUUCACCAUCGAGCUGACGGAGGAGAACUUCCGCAGGCUCCAAGCUGAGCACGACAGACAGGCCAAGGAGCUGUUCCUUCUGCGGAAGACAUUGGAGGAAAUGGAAUUGAGAAUUGAAACACAGAAGCAGACUCUCAAUGCCCGAGAUGAGUCCAUUAAAAAGCUGCUGGAGAUGCUGCAGAGUAAAGGGUUACCAUCCAAAAGCCUCGAGGAUGACAGUGAGCGCACGCGGCGGAUGGCAGAGGCCGAGUCUCAGGUCAGCCACUUGGAGGUGAUUUUAGACCAGAAGGAGAAGGAAAACAUCCAUCUGAGAGAGGAAUUGCACCGAAGGAGCCAACUUCAGCCGGAGCCAGCCAAGACCAAGGCUCUCCAGACCGUCAUUGAGAUGAAGGACACAAAAAUUGCUUCACUGGAGCGAAACAUCCGGGACCUGGAGGAUGAGAUCCAGAUGUUGAAAGCCAAUGGUGUGCUUAACACGGAGGAUCGUGAGGAGGAGAUCAAGCAAAUCGAGGUGUACAAAAGCCACUCCAAGUUUAUGAAGACCAAGAUUGACCAGCUGAAGCAGGAACUUUCCAAGAAGGAGUCAGAACUUCUUGCCUUACAAACAAAGCUUGAAACCCUUAGCAAUCAAAAUUCAGAUUGCAAGCAACACAUCGAAGUGCUUAAAGAGUCACUUACUGCCAAAGAACAGAGGGCUGCCAUCCUUCAGACAGAGGUAGAUGCGCUGAGAUUACGCCUGGAAGAGAAAGAAUCUUUUCUCAAUAAGAAAACGAAACAGUUGCAAGACCUCACAGAAGAGAAGGGGACCCUAGCUGGAGAGAUCCGUGACAUGAAAGAUAUGUUAGAAGUAAAGGAAAGAAAAAUCAAUGUUCUUCAGAAAAAAAUUGAAAACUUGCAAGAGCAACUUAGGGAUAAGGACAAACAACUGACCAACCUGAAAGACAGAGUCAAGUCCUUGCAGACAGAUUCCAGCAACACAGACACUGCUCUGGCCACCCUGGAGGAAGCCUUGUCAGAAAAGGAGAGAAUAAUAGAGCGUUUGAAAGAGCAAAGGGAGAGAGAUGACCGGGAGAGACUAGAAGAGAUAGAAUCCUUUCGAAAGGAGAACAAAGACCUCAAAGAAAAGGUCAAUGCUUUACAGGCUGAACUCACGGAGAAAGAGUCCAGUUUAAUCGACCUCAAAGAACAUGCGUCUUCAUUAGCUUCUGCGGGACUGAAGAGGGACUCCAAAUUAAAAUCGCUAGAAAUAGCUAUCGAACAAAAGAAGGAGGAGUGUAGCAAAUUGGAAGCACAGCUUAAAAAGCAAGCUGAGCAGUUGUUCAAUCAGAUGUACAACCCAGCACAUAAUAUUGAAGAUGACUCCAGGAUGAACCCUGAGUUUGCAGACCGACUGAAGCAGCUGGACAAGGAAGCCUCUUACUAUCGCGAUGAGUGCGGCAAGGCGCAAGCAGAGGUGGACAGGUUGCUGGAGAUCCUCAAGGAGGUGGAGAACGAAAAGAAUGACAAAGAUAAGAAGAUCGCGGAGCUUGAGAGCUUGACGCUCAGGCAUAUGAAAGAUCAGAAUAAGAAGGUGGCUAGCCUCAAGCACAACCAACAGCUGGAGAAGAAGAAGAAUGCCCAGUUAUUAGAAGAAGUCCGCCGGCGCGAAGAUAGCAUGGUCGACAACUCACAGCAUUUGCAGAUAGAGGAGCUGAUGAACGCACUGGAGAAGACAAGACAGGAGCUGGAUGCCACCAAAGCGCGCCUUGCCUCGACCCAGCAGUCUCUGGCCGAAAAGGAAGCACACCUGGCCAACCUCCGCCUAGAGAGGAGGAAACAGCUGGAGGAGAUCCUGGAGAUGAAACAGGAAGCACUUCUUGCCGCCAUUAGUGAAAAAGAUGCAAACAUUGCCUUGCUGGAAUUGUCUGCCUCCAAAAAGAAAAAGACCCAGGAAGAAGUCAUGGCUCUGAAGCGAGAGAAAGACCGGCUGGUGCAUCAGUUAAAGCAGCAGGUCUAUAGGCCUAGGAAACAGCCCCCGUGCUCAAAUAUACCGUGCAAUUGUGAUGCUGGCUACAGCCCAGAUUUUACGGCCAAGUACCCCGGCUCCAGCUACGAUGCACACAUGAGCCAAAGGUCUCAGACCCAGAACAGAAUGAAGCUGAUGGCAGACAACUAUGACGACCAUCACCAUUACCACCACCACCAUCACCACCACCACCGAUCUCCUGGGAGGUCACAGCAUUCCAACCACAGGCCCUCUCCGGACCAGGAUGACGAGGAGGGCAUAUGGGCAUAGCCGGGCCUGUAAACCAAAGUUCCAGUUUUGUUUUGAGGGAUGAUCCAGCUCUGUCGGAGGCACGUGUAGGCACAGCCAAAUCUCAUGCUGUACAUUGAUCACCUGUCCAACCUUUGCCUAGAGUGGGAGUCCCCAGUUCCUUCAAGAGAUCCAACUUUACCUGUCUGUAAAGAAGAAGAGGAGGAGGGAGACAGCGGGGAGGAUCCAGUGGCAUUGUAACACCAGAGCAGGUCCAGUGUUUACUCUUGCCCUUUCGGAGCUGUCAGAAAGGUUGGCUAAAGGGAAAGCUCUGCACUGCAGUCAUUCCCACGUAAUCUCCUGCCGCGUGGCUGUCUCCAUUGCCCACCACCAGCCUCAGGGGCAGGCCCGAACGGAAGGGGGUUCCUCACCUUCGCUUUCCUGCGUGAUUCUGGUCACCUCAUCCCUCCUGCGUUUGGGUGUAUGGGAAAGAAAGUGUAUGAAGGAGGAGAAAGAUGACAGUCCUUUCAUUUUCUGUCAGGAUUUGGACCUUUACAGUGUGACCGUCUCUGCUGAAAGCCACGUGGUGAGCGUUUUAUUUCUGCUGCUUUGCCUCCUGGAUACACGGCCACUGCACGGGAUUCAAACUGUGGAUUCAGUGUCUGUUGGACAGCUCUCCCUAUCUCCCAUUAUCUUGCUGAUCGGUCCAACUGGUCCUAACACAUCAGAUUACCGUGCAGUCUAAACUUGCUGCGGAUGAGUGCUGCUGGUGGUGUUUAUGCACCACGGUGCGUGGAGUGUUUGACGAGGAAACCAAAAGACUAAAAAUUGAGAGCCCUCCUCUAUUUCUUUAAUCUGUCAGUCAAGGAACCACAUUUCGAUGGUGUUAUCAGUUGUUACCUCUGGGCCAGGUUGGAAAUGAAAUCAAUUUUUUAAACCACUAAUAACUUGCCAAGAAAUCGCCUUAUGAGAACAUGGUGUGUGUCUCUGACAGUGCGUGGCACAUCUAAAUUGGUCAUUCAUAAUUUUACUGUCCUGUUCAUGUGCAAGAGAGUGGCAAAAGCCUGAGGCGUUUGCGUGUAGCUACUCCACCUGCUCCUUGAACCCCACGCACGGCUGGGACAUGACCCGGCCUCAGGCCCUUCUCGUUCUCACACAUGCAGGUCUCCAUGAACGAGCUGAGAGAUUCAUUCAUGUUUCAAGAUCCAAAUGCUGUGCAAGCAGUGAGUGUGAGCUUGGGUCUUCUCUAAAUGAAGGGUCAUUUCUCACUGUUUUUUUUUUUCUUAAGAAAAUGUCUCUAAUGUGGAUUCCAAAGCAUUUUCAACAUCAAACGUGCAAGCAUUGAUGAAUGAAGAACAAUCACAAAAGUUGUGUGUCUGUAAAUAGCAUUGCACAGGCUGUCUGUGGGUACGGUAGAGUCAUUAUCUAAAGCACAUGCCAGAGAAAGAGACCGCAUUCCGAGGUCUUCUACAUACAAUGACAAGGUACUUAGGAGAUUUCUACUCCUGCUGCUUCCUCUGAAGAUAAAAAAUGAUUAGUCAUUACAACUUCAUACAAAACCCAUAACUGAGCCUGGCAAAUGUGCAGCUCUUGUAUUGACCCAUUCUUGUCGAGGGGAGGAACCCUCCUUCCUGCAUUCCUAAAGGACAAACAGUGAAUUUUAGCAUGAGUGGCCUUAAUAAAUACAAUUGUCUUUCUUUGCUGCUGUGGAAAGGGUUCUAAGCAGAAGCUGCUGAAAUCUUGCAUUGAAUCAAAUCAUUAUUACUUUCCAAAAUGUUGGUGCAAUUAACUCUGGACCUCUCUCAUGAGCCAUAGAGAUAGAAGACAAACCCCUUGUUUGCUGGGGAAAGGAAACUGUUCCUGAACUGCACCCUUUAUUCCUGGUGCAUCAGGACUAAUAUAUUCAAACAGGUUUCCUGCUGUGGGCUUCGUUCUUGUCGGUAAAUUGUGAACUAUGUAAAGCUUACAUGUUAACAUAAAUGCUCCAAAUACAUUCGUGUUUUAAAAGUUUGACCUUUAACUAUCAAAAGGAUGUAGGUCGUUGUUAGAGAAGGGAGCAGAGUUCUUUGCAAGUUAAUUUAGUAUUUUUUGGUGAAGUGUGGCAAUGAAAACCCAAGCCACAGACUGGUCCCCAGGUAUGGUUUGGGUAUCCUCAGAGAAGUCCUCACAGCCUACCACCAGGUCAUGACUUGAACUCUGCAACUUGAAAUACUUGAAAUAGGAAGUAGGAGAACCAGGAUGGUAAACGGGGUCCUUGAAGUAGCACACAAAGCGAUCAACCAUGUGUAUUUACCUAUUUCUACAUUUGUGCCAAUUUUGUCACAGCUAUUGUUUGGGGGAUCUUUUUUUUUUGGCCCCACUUUUGUUGGUUGAAAGUAUUUUUGAUCUUACAUUCAUGUGAAUGUAUCAUUUGGUCCCUGGAAAAGUGAAUUCCAUCUAACACAACAUUUUUUCCCAUUUUCUGUAAUAUUCUCUGACGUUUGGGGAUUACAAAAGAAACCCCUUUUCACACAUUGAAAAUAGUGUCUGGGUUUACAACAAACACUGUGACGUUUGGAAGGUAUUUUCUUUCUGCAACCUUGAGCAGGCUCCCUUCUAAUCCGGUAUGACUGAAACUAAACAAAAACAAGGUUGUGCUAACCCUUAGGAGGAAUUGGUUGAAGUCUUACCUUGCGCAAGAGCAGGCUUGUAUUUAUAACCCCUUUUGAUUUCUAUAUACAGUCUCGAUUUUGUAUUUAAUGAUUUUGUGUAUUCAGUAUGCACCUUCACAGUGUGUCAACUUUCCUUUGAAAGUGGGUUUUACUUUUUAAACAGUGUUUAUGAUGAGACCUCAAAUGUGUUGAUAUAAGCUCUCUCUGCCGUGUUUUUGUGUAGAGUUGCAUUUGGAUGCUGCCAGGGGUCCAUGUAUCUAGUUCCCUGAGACCCUUGUUUGAUAGUGCUUCUUGUAAUAUUUCUUCAAGUGAGUGGCAUGUGGGUUGUGAUAUUGACCAUGUGAUUAUGGACAUCGAUAUGAAAAAUAAAUAAUAAAUAAAUAAAAUUAAGGAACCCUCAAAACUACCAAUGGGCAUGUAUUAGCCAGUCAUUGUAACCUCAUGUCUAGUAAAAAUACCAUGUGCAAGGUAUGUACAGCUCAUAACUUUGUUAUCAUGUGUAUGAGGAGUACUUUGUGCUGAUUGUCUUAUUUAUAUUCAUCAAAUAAACCUUGUUUCUU